GCGCAGAUGGCGAAGUGGUUAACGCGCUCGGUUGCAGCCCGAGUAUUUCCUGGGUUCGAAUCCCAGUCUGCGCU
rnacentral:tRNA from 1 species